UACGGAGGGGGUUAGCGUUGUUCGGAAUGACUGGGCGUAAAGCGCGCGUAGGCGGGCUGGAAAGUUGGGGGUGAAAUCCCGGGGCUCAACCCCGGAAUGGCCUUCAAAACUCCCAGCCUAGAGUUCGAGAGAGGUGAGUGGAAUUCAUGGUGUAGCAGUGAAAUGCGUAGAGAUCAUGAGGAAGACCAGUGGCGAAGGCGGGUCUCUGGACAGUUCCUGACACUGAGGCACGAAGGCCAGGGGAGCAAACGGG
rnacentral:rRNA from 1 species